GACGAACGCUGGCGGCGUGCUUAACACAUGCAAGUCGAACGGAAAGGCCCCUUUGGGGGUACUCGAGUGGCGAACGGGUGAGUAACACGUGAGUAACCUGCCCUUGACUUCGGGAUAACUUCAGGAAACUGGGGCUAAUACCGGAUAGGAAUCCUUGCUGCAUGGUGGGGGUUGGAAAGCUUCGGCGGUUUUGGAUGGACUCGCGGCUUAUCAGCUUGUUGGUGGGGUAGUGGCUUACCAAGGCUUUGACGGGUAGCCGGCCUGAGAGGGCGACCGGCCACAUUGGGACUGAGAUACGGCCCAGACUCCUACGGGAGGCAGCAGUGGGGAAGAUUGCACAAUGCGCGGAAGCCUGAUGCAGCAACGCCGCGUGCGGGAUGACGGCCUUCGGGUUGUAAACCGCUUUCAGCAGGGGCGAAGCUUGUGGUGACGGUACCUGCAGAAGAAGCACCGGCUAACUACGUG
rnacentral:rRNA from 1 species